AAUAAUGCAGAGGUUUCUGUCCUGGAAAGAGUCAGGCAGGAAAAAGAGCGAAAUUAAGGUAUUUUGCCGGAUGAAACGGACACGCAACAAUGGCGUAAGACGUGAUGUUUAAUCAGGCACUUAGCGGGCUGCGGGUUGCGGCCUGGACGACAGACUGGGAUGUGUGGAUUUUUGAAUACUCUGUAGCACUUCCACCUUCAGGCGCUGGUUUUCCUUAUGAAAAACAGGCCACCGACAAGAUUUGCGCCCCUUUAGCCGCCGACAACCGUGAGGUUGACGUCAGUGCAUGCAGACACGGGGCCAUCGGUUGAUUCUCGUCCAGGGUAACGAUGCCCGCAGCUUUAUCACUCA
rfam:Plautia stali symbiont DNA, complete genome.